rnacentral:rRNA from 1 species
UACGAAGGGGGCUAGCGUUGUUCGGAGUUACUGGGCGUAAAGGGCGCGUAGGCGGCGCACCAAGUCAGGCGUGAAAGCCCUGGGCUCAACCCGGGAAUUGCGCUUGAGACUGGUGUGCUUGAGUACGGGAGAGGAUAGUGGAAUUCCCAGUGUAGAGGUGAAAUUCGUAGAUAUUCGGCGGAACACCAGUGGCGAAGGCGACUCACUGGCCCGAUACUGACGCUGAGGCGCGAAAGCGUGGGGAGCAAACAGG